GUCCAUGUAACAUGCCUUCUUGUUAUGAAUGCAAAUGCAAAUGAGGUGAUGAAUGUAUGUCUAUAAAUUAGGGCCAUGAAGGUCGCGUAGAAGGUAGGGUGAAUUUGGGGUCUGACAACUACUAAUAAAUGCAGGGUGCUUAUGUCCUUGACUUAAAAAAAUAUAUUUCAAAUGCUCUGGGAGUUCUUUUAGUUCAAGAUCUGUUGGUUUUUC
rnacentral:lncRNA from 1 species